rnacentral:lncRNA from 1 species
AUCAGAUAAAAAGUCAAAUUUUUAUUGAUUAGUAAAACAUGAUUACAAAAAGAUGAUUACGAAGAUAGAAAAUAUAAGUACAUGCAAAGUGUAUGAGAGCUACAACCGGCAAAAAAUGAAUUUUUAGAGUUACUAAAGCUCUAUGAAAGGAAUCCUAGCAUUCUAAGUAAGUAUAAGUCAGGAUAGUCCCAUGAUGAUGGUCAGAUUGACUAGAGGGAGAAGGUAGUCUGAUGUCUCCAGAUGAAUGAGUCAGAUCGCGAACAUCCUUUCUCACUAAAGUAAAAGCUUAAAUCAACUUGGCAGACUCCUCUCAGACCAAAGAUAAUGCCUCCAUCAAAUCUCGUCUCACUUAUUGUGCCUCUGAAGUAUAUCUUAGAAUCUCAACAUAGAUUGAAGUGAUGAUCCUACUAGAAACUUUCUCAAUGAAUGCAUCCUCAUCCACUCUAUCAAAAAGUCAAUCUAUACCCUUUGGAUGACUAGUUUGUGAAGGAGAAG